rnacentral:rRNA from 1 species
UCGAACGAAGCGCUUGGAUGGGAAUCUUUGGAAGGAAGCUCAAGUGACUGAGUGGCGGACGGGUGAGUAACGCGUGGGUAACCUGCCUCAUACAGGGGGAUAACAGUUAGAAAUGACUGCUAAUACCGCAUAAGCACACGUGAUCGCAUGAUCGAGUGUGAAAAACUCCGGUGGUAUGAGAUGGACCCGCGUCUGAUUAGCUAGUUGGUGGGGUAAUGGCCCACCAAGGCGACGAUCAGUAGCCGGCCUGAGAGGGUGAACGGCCACAUUGGGACUGAGACACGGCCCAAACUCCUACGGGAGGCAGCAGUGGGGAAUAUUGCACAAUGGGGGAAACCCUGAUGCAGCGACGCCGCGUGAAGGAUGAAGUAUUUCGGUAUGUAAACUUCUAUCAGCAGGGAAGAAAAUGACGGUACCUGACUAAGAAGCCCCGGCUAACUACGUGCCAGCAGCCGCGGUAAUACGUAGGGGGCAAGCGUUAUCCGGAUUUACUGGGUAUAAAGGGAGCGUAGACGGCAGUGCAAGUCUGAAGUGAAAGCCCGGGGCUCAACCCCGGGACUGCUUUGGAAACUGUGCAGCUAGAGUGUCGGAGAGGCAAGCGGAAUUCCUAGUGUAGCGGUGAAAUGCGUAGAUAUUAGGAGGAACACCAGUGGCGA